GGGCCACUAGCUCAAUGGUAGAGCCGCGGACUCUUAAUCCGUUGGUUUCAGGUUCAAGUCCUGAGUGGCCCG
rnacentral:tRNA from 1 species